UGGCUCAGUUGGUAGAGCAAUGCGCUUGCAACGCUAGGGUUGUGGGUUCGAUUCCCAU
rnacentral:tRNA from 1 species